rnacentral:lncRNA from 1 species
UGAAAAUCCUAUUAUUUGAGUUUCAAAUCAUGCACAGCUUCACAACCACACUGAAGAGCACUCUCUGGGUUUUCACUUUGCAUGCUUUUGUCUAAUUGCCCUCUACCAUACUCUACUCUGAGAGGCCUGCAGGCUGGAGAGAGUGUGCUACCUGAGGGCCAGCUGGGAUUUGUAUUAUUGUACAUCACGCAUCACAGGUCACAUUACAGUAACCUCAUCAAUUAGCAUAUAAUGAGUUUUUAAAUCAUUAUCUUAUGUGAUGAAGACAUGAGUUUACUGGAUCCCGCAGUUCCUGACAGAAAAGAUGGAUCGCUGAGUUUGGAAUUCCACAGUAGGUUGGCCAGCUUGAAACACUUGCAAUAGGAUCAUACUGCUUGGAAUUUGUUUUUCGAAAGAAAUACUGUUGGACUGUGUGUGUGUGUGUGUGUGUGUGUUGGUUAUUAAGAAAUGCUUUUUCCAGGACAAUUAACUAUUCAAAGUGUAUUAAAGAAAAUUCAGAUCUUUCAGUCCACAGCUUUCCAGGGGUUGAGCUGCAUUCGGCAGAAAAUCUUCCGUCGGUGGCCCAGACACCCUCCAGUGUCUCUCCUGCUGAAGCUUGCCCUCCUUCCAUUCAGGCAAGAUGACGGUGGAAGGCGUGAGUCCCAAAGAGAAUGUCCUGCAAGGGGUUGUUCUCUCCCCUCACACCGUCACAGAAAAGUUUGGCGAUGAGGAUGGGACAAAAUUCCACUGGCUAGAUGCUGCUUGCUCCUGGACUGCUGCUGAGCUGAGAGAUGCUGGAGCCCUGACCAGAGCAGGCACGAGGUAAGAGUUCUUAGCAUGUCAGUCUCCCAGAUCUCUGCCUGCAGGGUCCAGUGGAAGUGACAGUCGUGAGGGUUUUUCAUUUUCUAAAUUUAGAUUAGCAGGAGAAAAUAUUGGUGAAGCUAGCUUCUUGGACUCAGCAACUCUAGGAUUUUGUUGUGUACUCAUUUGUUAAUUGAUCCUUUUCCUCCCAGAGAUAGUCCCUAUUUUUCUUUGUCUUUGUCUUUUUUGUAGUUUGUCAUAAGACAAAGGCAU